GCCUGGUAGGUUGUACAGAUGCCGUGCGCUAAGCGAGGCCGUGAGCGUGGUGCUGGCGGUGUCCUUGAAGUUUAAGCAUUGGAUCGCCGCGAAGAAUUGCUGGGGCGUUUAACGCCGUGUCCGACGCCUGGUCCUAUGGUACUGCAGGUCAAUAUGCGGCCCAGGCAGGAGUGGCUUUGCUCAUACAGUAUUGAUAUGGCAGCUCGGGGAGGUGAGCGGCACUCUAAAACCGGAACAGGCAAGUAUGUCGACCUGGAAAUUGAUGUAUGAAGCCUCAAGCCUCAAAAAUGAACAGGUAGUGCCUGCAGGGUCCUAAGGGCGAAAAAAAAAAAAAAGAAAGCGGACGGAACAACGGCGCGUGGUAUGAAUACGAAGAAAAGACGGAAACCAUUCUCACGGUCGUCUGCAUGGCGCCUCUCGGUCUCUGCGAAGAAGCGAAGUCUGGAGUUGCUGAAAAGUGAAAAAAAGAAAAAGAAAGCGAGGUUAACUUGACGCAGAUGUUGUACGAGCUCCUGCGCGUUGUCUUCCUUUCUUUUUUUUUUUUUUUACCGAUGGCUAU